AACGCUAGCUACAGGCUUAACACAUGCAAGUCGAGGGGAAACGACAUCGAAAGCUUGCUUUUGAUGGGCGUCGACCGGCGCACGGGUGAGUAACGCGUAUCCAACCUGCCCACCACUUGGGGAUAACCUUGCGAAAGUAAGACUAAUACCCAAUGAUAUCUCUAGAAGACAUCUGAAAGAGAUUAAAGAUUCAUCGGUGAUGGAUGGGGAUGCGUCUGAUUAGCUUGUUGGCGGGGUAACGGCCCACCAAGGCGACGAUCAGUAGGGGUUCUGAGAGGAAGGUCCCCCACAUUGGAACUGAGACACGGUCCAAACUCCUACGGGAGGCAGCAGUGAGGAAUAUUGGUCAAUGGGCGAGAGCCUGAACCAGCCAAGUAGCGUGCAGGAUGACGGCCCUAUGGGUUGUAAACUGCUUUUAUAAGGGAAUAAAGUGAGCCUCGUGAGGCUUUUUGCAUGUACCUUAUGAAUAAGGACCGGCUAAUUCCGUGCCAGCAGCCGCGGUAAUACGGAAGGUCCGGGCGUUAUCCGGAUUUAUUGGGUUUAAAGGGAGCGUAGGCCGGAGAUUAAGCGUGUUGUGAAAUGUAGAUGCUCAACAUCUGCACUGCAGCGCGAACUGGUUUCCUUGAGUACGCACAAAGUGGGCGGAAUUCGUGGUGUAGCGGUGAAAUGCUUAGAUAUCACGAAGAACUCCGAUUG
rnacentral:rRNA from 1 species